UACGUAGGGGGCAAGCGUUGUCCGGAAUCAUUGGGCGUAAAGAGCGUGUAGGCGGCCCGAUAAGUCCGCCGUGAAAGUCCAGGGCUCAACCCUGGGGAUGCCGGUGGAAACUGUCGGGCUAGAGUCCGGAAGAGGCGAGUGGAAUUCCUGGUGUAGCGGUGAAAUGCGCCAGAUAUCAGGAGGAACACCAAUAGCGAAGGCAGCUCGCUGGGGACGGUACUGACGCUGAGGCGCGAAAGCGUGGGGAGCGAACAGG
rnacentral:rRNA from 1 species